rnacentral:lncRNA from 1 species
GGAGAUUGUUGAAUCUUGUAUUUUGAUGAUGAAACUACUUGAUAUAUGUUUAUGAUAUAAUCUGUGUUUUGAGUGACGCAGGAUGCUUUGAUCAAGAUGAGACAAUUAAAGCAGGAAAAUCAUGUUGUGCCGGAGGAACAUGUCAGAAGAUUGGAUGUCGGGCCAGUGGAUCGGUCGACGUAUCGACAGAAGGCUUCGGGCCGUGGACUCGGGCAUCGGGCCAAGAAGAGCGGGUAUUGUGCCAAGGAUAUCAGAGUUGCAGAGUCAAC